CUCAGUUCGGAUCGGAGUCUGNAACCCGACUCCGUGAAGCUGGAUUCGCUAGUAAUCGCGCAUCAGCCAUGGCGCGGUGAAUACGUUCCCGGGCCUUGUACACACCGCCCGUCAAGCCAUGGGAGCCGGGGGUGCUUGAAGUGCGUCGCCGCAAGGCGCGCCCUAGAGCAAAACCGGUGACUGGGGCUAAGUCGUAACAAGGUACC
rnacentral:rRNA from 1 species